CACGUGAUGCCUCCCGAGGCCGCCGCUGCGGGCAACUUCUCCACAGAGAAGAGCCGUCAGCGCCCACUUUUUGGUCCCCGUCGUCCCCACAUCCCGUCUCUGCCGACGUGGUUGAAGAGGAAUGUUAAAAAUGAUUCACGGAUUUAUCAAAACUCCCAAAAAUCUUAACUUCGUGCCACUGCCCAUUUAAUCCAGUGGAGGAAUCUGAUACUUGGUGCUUACAAACUCUACAGCCUCUGAUGAUUAUAGAAGCAGAAGAGAGCAGAGUAAACACUGUCAGGUAUGACUGGAAAUAUCACCUGUCUGAAAUCCUGGAGGAGAGAACCAUGUAUGCCCUCGUGAGUUCUUUGGAGGAAAUGUAAUAAUUAAACAUAUGGUUACAAAUGAGUCUGUUUCUCCCCAAUGCAUGUACUCAGGUAUGUUAGAAUAUGCACAUAUUGUUCCUGAAGGACACUGUGUCACUGGUGUACCUUAAGCACAAUUGUUGAAAACAGCAUGGGGCUACUGUCAGUCAGAAGCACUAUUGUUGCUUCAUGCGUCCCACUGACGCAUUCAGAAGAGAUUCUGGCUUUGAGCCCUGCUGGCAUUGUGAUUGUCUACAACAUCAGCAGUUUGGAGCAACGUGGAGUAGUGUUGUCAAGUAAUACAUUGCUCUAGUUCAUGGUGGACAACCUGCAACCUGGGAGAUGCAUGCAGCUCCCAAUCUCAUUUUAUGUAGCCCAACACCUCCUGAAGCCACCGGUUCUUCCCUCCCAUCAGACUUCUUCCCUUAUUAUUUCUUUUAAAGUGCCCCCCUUACUUGUGUGGUUGCAGAACAAUUGAAAGGGGUAGGAUUAAAUCUGAUAAAAAAUAACUUUAUUUUCAAAAACUUCGUUCUUAGCUGUAUG